rnacentral:rRNA from 1 species
GACGUAGGGCGCGAGCGUUGUCCGGAUUUAUUGGGCGUAAAGAGCUCGUAGGCGGCUUGUUGCGUCGACCGUGAAAACCCGGGGCUUAACUUCGGGCUUGCGAUCGAUACGGGCAGGCUAGAGUUCGGUAGGGGAGACUGGAAUUCCUGGUGUAGCGGUGAAAUGCGCAGAUAUCAGGAGGAACACCGGUGGCGAAGGCGGGUCUCUGGGCCGAUACUGACGCUGAGGAGCGAAAGCGUGGGGAGCAAACAGG